AACGUAGGACGCAAGCGUUAUCCGGAAUUACUGGGCGUAAAGCGUGCGCAGGCGGUUUUGUAAGCCAGAUGUGAAAUCCCCGAGCUUAACUUGGGAACUGCAUUUGGGACUGCAAGGCUAGAGUACGGCAGAGGGGGGUAGAAUUCCUGGUGUAGCAGUGAAAUGCGUAGAUAUCAAGAGGAAUACCGAUGGCGAAGGCAGCCCCCUGGGUCGAUACUGACGCUCAUGCACGAAAGCGUGGGGAGCAAACAGG
rnacentral:rRNA from 1 species